UACGUAGGGAGCAAGCGUUAUCCGGAUUUACUGGGUGUAAAGGGCGCGCAGGCGGGCCGGCAAGUUGGGAGUGAAAUCCCGGGGCUUAACCCCGGAACUGCUUUCAAAACUGCUGGUCUUGAGUGAUGGAGAGGCAGGCGGAAUUCCGUGUGUAGCGGUGAAAUGCGUAGAUAUACGGAGGAACACCAGUGGCGAAGGCGGCCUGCUGGACAUUAACUGACGCUGAGGCGCGAAAGCGUGGGGAGCAAACAGG
rnacentral:rRNA from 2 species